rnacentral:tRNA from 1 species
GGGCGGUUAGCUCAGUUGGUAGAGCAUUCCCUUGACGUGGGAAGGGUCAGAGGUUCGAAUCCUCUAUCGCCCACAA